rnacentral:rRNA from 1 species
ACAGAGGUCUCAAGCGUUGUUCGGAUUCAUUGGGCGUAAAGGGUGCGUAGGUGGCGCGCUAAGUCAGGUGUGAAAUUUCGGAGCUUAACUCCGAAACUGCAUUUGAUACUGGCGUGCUUGAGGACUGGAGAGGAGACUGGAAUUCAUGGUGUAGCAGUGAAAUGCGUAGAGAUCAUGAGGAAGACCAGUGGCGAAGGCGGGCUACUGGGCUGAUACUGACGCUGAUGCGCGAAAGCUAGGGGAGCAAACAGGA